GGGGUGGAGAUCAAAACAGGCAAAGUGGAUGGUAAUGGCGAGCAUAUCCUUAUCCAACCCGAGGAUAUCCAGCUCUCUACUGUGGAUGAUUUAGCAUCCACUCACAUAGUCAAGCUAAGUGAAGAUGUGAGCAUGGGUGAGGUGCUGUUUAGUGGCGAGUACAUCCAAGGUGACGGAUCGGCCGAGGAACAUACAUCGCUGAUGACGCCGUCUCCCUCCAGGAAGGUCAUGAGUACUCCUCAAACAGGAAGAAAAGGAGAAUAAUUUACAAACUUGCAAGAUAUGGACCAGAUGAUCUUCAAAGAGCAAUUGAAGAUGUACGUUCAGGAAUGGGAACUCUGCGAGAAAUUGCUGAGCGAUGGGGUGUACCGCACUCCACUCUGUCUAUUCAUGCAAGAAUGGCAGGUGUAGCUGUCCAGCAGAGAAGUUUGAUCUAUGACAGUGAAACUCUGGAAGCAGCAAAGCAGGCAG